rnacentral:rRNA from 1 species
CAGUAGUCACGAGUUUGUCAUGGCUCAGAACGAACGCUGGCGGCAGGCCUAACACAUGCAAGUCGAGCGAACCCUUCGGGGUUAGCGGCGGACGGGUUAGUAACGCGUGGGAAUAUACCCUUUGGUACGGAAUAGCCUCGGGAAACUGAGAGUAAUACCGUAUGUGCCCUUCGGGGGAAAGAUUUAUCGCCAAAGGAUUAGCCCGCGUUGGAUUAGAUAGUUGGUGGGGUAAUGGCCUACCAAGUCUACGAUCCAUAGCUGGUCUGAGAGGAUGAUCAGCCACACUGGGACUGAGACACGGCCCAGACUCCUACGGGAGGCAGCAGUGGGGAAUAUUGGACAAUGGGCGCAAGCCUGAUCCAGCCAUGCCGCGUGAGUGAUGAAGGCCCUAGGGUUGUAAAGCUCUUUCACCGGUGAAGAUAAUGACGGUAACCGGAGAAGAAGCCCCGGCUAACUUCGUG